rnacentral:rRNA from 1 species
UACAGAGGUCCCGAGCGUUGUUCGGAUUCACUGGGCGUAAAGGGUGCGUAGGUGGUGAGGUAAGUCGGAUGUGAAAUCUCCAAGCUCAACUUGGAAAUGGCAUUGGAAACUACCUUGCUGGAGGUUUGGAGGGGGGACUGGAAUUCUCGGUGUAGCAGUGAAAUGCGUAGAUAUCGAGAGGAACACCAGUGGCGAAGGCGAGUCCCUGGACAAAACUUGACACUGAGGCACGAAAGCUAGGGGAGCAAACAGG